rnacentral:rRNA from 2 species
AGGGUUUCGNUCGUAAANUCUGUGNUAAAGAANACAUAUCUGAGAGNANUNUCNGUAUGACGGUAUUUAACCAGAAAGCCACGGCUAACUACGUGCCAGCAGCCGCGGUAAUACGUAGGUGGCAAGCGUGUCCGGAUUUAUUGGGCGUAAAGCGAGCGCAGGCGGUUUUUUAAGUCUGAUGUGAAAGCUUUCGGCUCAACCGAAGAAGUGCAUCGGAAACUGGGAAACUUGAGUGCAGAAGAGGACAGUGGAACUCCAUGUGUAGCGGUGAAAUGCGUAGAUAUAUGGAAGAACACCAGUGGCGAAGGCGGCUGUCUGGUCUGUAACUGACGCUGAGGCUCGAAAGUAUGGGUAGCAAACAGGAUUAGAUACCCUGGUAGUCCAUACCGUAAACGAUGAAUGCUAAGUGUUGGAGGGUUUCCGCCCUUCAGUGCUGCAGCUAACGCAUUAAGCAUUCCGCCUGGGGAGUACGGCCGCAAGGCUGAAACUCAAAGGAAUUGACGGGGGCCCGCACAAGCGGUGGAGCAUGUGGUUUAAUUCGAAGCUACGCGAAGAACCUUACCAGGUCUUGACAUACUAUGCAAAUCUAAGAGAUUAGACGUUCCCUUCGGG